GCCACCGAAGCUCCUUCGUUUCUCCCCUUUUUCGGUGAUGUUUCACCACCCAACCAGCAGACCAAAACACCAACGAACCACCACCUAACACUCUCCUAUUCGUUGCUGCUGCUAGCAGCUCUCUCCAACCAGCAACUCAUCAUCUCUUUCACCCAUUUUUUCAGCCAAAAACAACUACACCCACCAUCAAAACACCACCAUAAAACUCCAUCAAAAACCAACUCCAAAAACAGCCCCCAAACUAUCCCCAACCCACCUGUUUUUCCCCAAAUACACCAAGAAACAAUCACCAAAACCCCACGCCAGCCAGCCAAACGACACAAAACCCCUCUUCUUUUUUAUUUGUUUUCCGACAGACCAAUUCCAGCCAAAAAAAAUAUAUAAAUAAAUUGUUUUAUUCUUUUUCCAGAAACUCCAUGACCUCCGGCGAGGAGUUUUGAGCUCCGAUGAACCGGAGCACUCAGACCAGUUCCCUUCCCCCUUCCACUCUUCAGAUUUUGCUUGUUUUGUUGGUAUCCCGAUGAAACUCCGAACUCCGGCGGCAUAGCAAUACAGACUCUGCUCUUAACAAUGGUGAAACUUGCGGAUCUAGCCUAAAAUACCACACUCAGACACGGGAAAAGAUUAGGCGUGACGAAGGAGAACUUCAACCUCGAAUAUUAAAUUGGUGGAAGAAUCGUGAAAAACAAUUUCUGACACUUUCUAGGAUUGUUCGAGAUGUGCUAGCGAUUCAAGCAUCAUCGGUCUCUUCGGAGCAAGCCUUUAGUGCAGCGAGAUUUAUGAUUGGAGAUCAUCGAUAUUCAUUAGCAAAGGACAGUUUGGAAAUAUCGAUGUUGUUUCGAGAUUGGGUCAAUGACGAAAGAAGAAACACCGGACUACCAUUAUUAAGUAGCCAUAUAGAAGGCCAAAUAGAUGAAAUAUUUGGUGAGAAUAGUGAUGAUGGCAUGGAAGCAAUGGACGAAGAACGACAAAUGCCAAUUCCAAAAAAUCUUUCUUUUCAAAUGAUACAAAAUUUACAAAAAGAAUUU